rnacentral:rRNA from 1 species
AAUGAACGUUGGCGGCGUGGAUUAGGCAUGCAAGUCGAGCGAGAACCCCGCAAGGGGGGACAGCGGCGAAAGGGACAGUAAUGUGUAGAUUAUCUGCCCUCAGGUCCGGGAUAGCUGCGGGAAACUGCAGGUAAUACCGGAUAACAUCUCCGGAUCAAAGGUGUGAUUCCGCCUGAGGAUGAGUCUGCAUCCUAUUAGCUAGUUGGUGGGGUAAUGGCCUACCAAGGCAUUGAUGGGUAGCAGGUGUGAGAGCACGACCUGCGUCAUUGGGACUGAGACACUGCCCAGACACCUACGGGUGGCUGCAGUCGAGAAUCUUCGGCAGUGGGCGCAAGCCUGACCGAGCGACGCCGCGUGUGGGAUGAAGGCCUUCGGGUUGUAAACCACUGUCAGAGGGGAUGAAAUGCAGGUGGGUUCUCCCAUCUGUUUGACAUAGCCUCAGAGGAAGGACGGGCUAAGUUCGUG